AUGUGCAAUCGCUCAAUCAAGAAAUCUAGGGCAUAUAGCCUGAUUAGUUCACCAAAAUCCGGCGGAGGGGAGGAGCUCUCCGUGGAGGAGCGCAACCUGCUGUCCGUCGCCUACAAGAACGUCAUCGGCGCCCGCAGGGCCUCGUGGCGGAUCAUCUCCUCCAUCGAGCAGAAGGAGGAGGGCCGCGGGAACGAGGCGCACGCCGCCUCCAUCCGCGCCUACCGCUCCAAGAUCGAGACCGAGCUCGCCCGCAUCUGCGACGGCAUCCUCGCCCUGCUCGACUCCCACCUCGUCCCAUCCGCCGGAGGCGCCGAGUCCAAGGUCUUCUACAUCAAGAUGAAGGGUGACUACCACAUGUAUACCAUUAUCGCUAGCAGAUCUCACUUUUUUAUUCUUCGUAUUUGCCUGUAG